CCGGCACGGGUGAGUAACACGUAUCCAACCUGCCGUCUACUCUUGGCCAGUCUUCUGAAGGAAGAUUAAUCCAGGAUGGCAUCAUGAGUUCACAUGUCCGCAUGAUUAAAGGUAUUUUCCGGUAGACGAUGGGGAUGCGUUCCAUUAGAUAGUAGGCGGGGUAACGGCCCACCUAGUCAACGAUGGAUAGGGGUUCUGAGAGGAAGGUCCCCCACAUUGGAACUGAGACACGGUCCAA
rnacentral:rRNA from 1 species